rnacentral:rRNA from 1 species
AUGCCCCGGAUGGCAUCCCCUCUUUCGUCUUCGUUCAUCGGUAACUUUACUUGGAGCUAUAUUUUUAUUCGCCACAUGAAUGUGUUUUGCUUGGAGCGUCUUGUAUUAUUUGCGUCUUUGCUUGUUAGUUUACCACAAUCAUCCUUGCUGUACACAUCUUUUGAGAGAGCCAUACAUGAAUUGGAAUUUGUUAGAAUACUCUAUGUGCUUCACUUAUAUCUUUUGAGCUUGAUAGUUUUGCUCAUAGUGCUUCACUUAUAUCUUUUGAGCAUGAUAAUUUUUGCUCUAGUGCUUCACUUAGAUCUUUUAAGAGCACGGUGGUAG